CAAAGGGCAAGUGAGGUACAGCCCUGUAAAACCCACAAUGCACUGAAUCUGAGGAAUGUAGCGAGGGAACACUGCGGUGUUUGUUUGUUUAGAGGUCAGAACCGCCUCGAUGUGAUCGGGUCAUCCAUAAAAGUCACUUCAUGAAAUCUACCCAAUAUUCACUGCAAGCUGUGCCGCAGGAGGACAAGAUGGAGAAAUUGUCGAUUCUCAUGUCGUUGCUCACAGUCUGCUGUGCAGUCACCAAAGGUGCUGA